AGCGAACGCUGCGGCAGGCUUAACACAUGCAAGUCGAACGCCCCGCAAGGGGAGUGGCAGACGGGUGAGUAACACGUGGGAACGUACCCUUUGGUUCGGAAUAACUUGGGGAAACUCAAGCUAAUACCGGAUAAGCCCUUAUGGGGAAAGGUUUACUGCCGAAGGAUCGGCCCGCGUCUGAUUAGCUAGUUGGUGAGGUAACGGCUCACCAAGGCGACGAUCAGUAGCUGGUCUGAGAGGAUGAUCAGCCACACUGGGACUGAGACACGGCCCAGACUCCACCGUGGGGCAGCGGGGGGGAAUAUUGGACAAGGGGGGCAACCCUGCUCGAGCCAUGCCGCGGGAGUGAUGAAGCCCUUAGGGUUGUAAAGCUCUUUUCCCCGGGACGAUAAUGACUGUCCCGGGAGAAAAAGCCCCGGCUAACUUGGUGCCAGCCGCCGCCGUAA
rnacentral:rRNA from 1 species